rnacentral:rRNA from 1 species
AUGAUACGCGAGGAACCUUACCCGGGCUUGAAUUGCAUCUGAAUAAUGGUAAAAGACCACUUAGCCGCAAGGCAGAUGUGAAGGUGGCUGCAUGGUUGUCGUCAGCUCGUGCCGUGAGGUGUCGGCUUAAGUGCCAUAACGAGCGCAACCCUAAUUUCCAGUUACUAUCAGGUAAUGCUGAGGACUCUGGAGAGACUGCCGUCGUAAGAUGUGAGGAAGGUUGGGAUGACGUCAAAUCAGCACGGCCCUUACGUCCGGGGCUACACACGUGUUACAAUGGGUGGUACAGAAGGCAGCUACACGGCGACGUGAUGCUAAUCCCAAAAACCACUCUCAGUUCGGAUUGGAGUCUGCAACUCGACUCCAUGAAGCUGGAUUCGCUAGUAAUCGCGCAUCAGCCAUGGCGCGGUGAAUACGUUCCCGGGCCUU